UGGGUCUUGUUUUUUCUAAUUUUGGUGGUGCUGGAGACUGAACCUUUGGACUCAGGAUGUUUGCUAUGCAAGUCCUCCUACUGAGGCAUAUCACACUCAACCAGGCUGGUCUUAGCAACUCUGUAGUGAAGACCAUAUGGACAGACCAUAAAACUAGAUUCUCCUAACUCAGCCUAUUUAGUAGCUGGGAUUAUAAACUGUUCUAUACUACUAAUGCUCGGAAGUUUUUAUAAAUACCAUUUAAUAAUUAUUUUAAAGUGUUAACAUUAUAUUCCAGUUAACUGUAUUUACAAGUUGGGUUUAACCUGUAAGCUAUUUGAAAAGUCUGAUAAAAUGGCCAAAUUAUUCUUUCCAGGUUUGCAUAUAUAGAGUUCUCAGACAAAGAGUCAGUGAGGACGUCCCUGGCCUUAGAUGAGUCCCUGUUUAGAGGAAGACAAAUCAAGGUAAGCCUAGGGCCCUGGCUACUAUCCAUUCUGUACAGAUUCUCCAGCUUGACUCCAAGGCUUUCUGUUCUCUGUCCUUUUCAGGUGAUUCCCAAGCGAACCAACAGACCAGGCAUCAGCACAACAGACCGGGGCUUCCCGCGUGCCCGAUACCGCGCCCGGACUACCAAUUACAACAGCUCCAGAUCUCGAUUCUACAGUGGUUUUAACAGCAGGCCCCGGGGUCGAAUCUACAGGUCAGGAUAGAUGGGCUGCUCCUCUUCCCCGCCUCCCAUGAGCCCUUAGGCUUACGUUCUUUCCUGAUCUGAGGACCCUUACUCCCAUGUCCUCCCUUUGGUUCCAGGGACUUGGUCCUUCUUGUGCAGAAUAAG
rnacentral:lncRNA from 1 species